GCAGUCCCAGGCUACAGCUCGGGAUGUGGAGCUGCCUUCCUAGGCCAGAAGAGAGAUGCUGAGAACACCAGGCUGGCAGACAUGGGGUCUUCCUAUGUUGCCCAGCCUGGUCUUGAACUCCUGGUCUCAAGUGAUCCUACUGCCUUGGCCUCCCAAAGUGCCGGAAUUACAGCUGAACCACGUGAUGCCUGUGAGUUUCAAGGACUGGAGCAUCCCCAUUCACGCUGGAACCAUCUCAACUAGAAGGGGGAGGGUGCACAAGCAGCUCUGGAUCAGCCCACUGGGGUUCAGAACAAGAAAAAGAAUUUCUUUACCUCCCCUGAGUUUCAGCCUCAAAGAGCGGCAAAGAACCUGGAGACGAUUAAAUCCAGCUGUGCUCAUUGUACAAAGGGAAGAACUGAGGCUUUGGAGGACAAAGAAGAUACCCAGAUGAUUUGCAUUGCUCUUUUUCUCCCUUGCUUCUUUCUCUCUUGUUGAACUGGAAUAGGUCAAACCUGUCUGCAGUACUCAAAUGUCACAGGGGUUUCCUCCACUAGGCACGGGUCAGAGCUUAUUCUCAAUCAAUGUUCAGAGAAUGAAGAAACGUCAGCAAUUACCUAGUAGGCAACUUUGGAGAGGAUUUCACUUCCUCUAUAAUUAAACACAACAAAUGGCACGAAUGCUGAAGGGACAAUAUGCAUGGGUGUGUGUGAGAGGGAGACUGCAGUUCCCAUACCAAAUGGGUAUUCGUUUGUUCCAAGAUUUUUUUUUCACCAAAAAAUGCUUUAAUAUCAUCACCUUUUAAAUAAUAUACACUGUCAUCUUGAUUAUGUCUACUGGGCUUACUCAAAGAGGCCAGGACCUUGCAGAGAAAUGAGCCUGAGGUUUCCUUCUGCCAGGUCACCAGUAAAUGGAUAUUUCCCAAAAGGCGAACCUUUUAACAUACGACUGCAUAAUUUAACCUCAAAUCCUACUUAGUAUUCUAGCAAGAUGUCUCCUUCUAAUUGAGGUAAUUUCUAGAAAUAUACUGCUAAAAGUUUCCUUUUCUUCAGAUAAAGCGAUAACUGCCAUUUAUGAA
rnacentral:lncRNA from 1 species